rnacentral:rRNA from 1 species
UACGAAGGGUGCAAACGUUGCUCGGAAUUAUUGGGCGUAAAGCGCACGUAGGCGGCAUUGCAAGUCGGAUGUGAAAUCCCUCGGCUUAACCAAGGAAGUGCAUCCGAAACUGCAGUGCUUGAGUACUUAAGAGGAUCGCGGAAUUCCCGGUGUAGAGGUGAAAUUCGUAGAUAUCGGGAGGAACACCGGUGGCGAAGGCGGGUCUCUGGGCCGUAACUGACGCUGAGGAGCGAAAGCGUGGGGAGCGAACAGG